AGGCAUUGAUGAUGAAAAACAUACCAUCAAAUUAUGAAAGCUCAGUCAUUGAUUCAUCUCAAUCAGUACUUUCCGAGCCU